UACGGGGGGGGCAAGCGUUGUUCGGAAUUACUGGGCGUAAAGGGCUCGUAGGCGGCCAACUAAGUCAGACGUGAAAUCCCUCGGCUUAACCGGGGAACUGCGUCUGAUACUGGAUGGCUUGAGUUUGGGAGAGGGAUGCGGAAUUCCAGGUGUAGCGGUGAAAUACGUAGAGAUUGGGAAGAACACCAGUGGCGAAGGCGGCUAUCUGGACGGUUUCUGACGCUAAGACGCGAAAGCGUGGGGAGCAAACAGG
rnacentral:rRNA from 1 species